rnacentral:rRNA from 1 species
AGAAGUUUGAUCCUGGCUCAGGAUGAACGCUGGCGGUAUGCUUUACACAUGCAAGUCGUACGAGAGUUUUUAACUCAAGUGGCGGACGGGUGAGUAACACGUAAGAAUUUGCCUUUAGGAGGGGGAUAACAACUGGAAACGGUUGCUAAUACCCCAUAUGCUUUCGAGUGAAACGGUUUUUCCGCCUAAAGAGAAGCUUGCGGCUGAUUAGCUUGUUGGUGAGGUAAUGGCUCACCAAGGCGACGAUCAGUAUCUGGUUUGAGAGGACGAUCAGACACACUGGAACUGAGACACGGUCCAGACUCCUACGGGAGGCAGCAGUGGGGAAUUUUCCGCAAUGGGCGAAAGCCUGACGGAGCAAUACCGCGUGAGGGAUGACGGCCUAUGGGUUGUAAACCUCUUUUUUCAGGGAGGAAUAAAUGACGUGUACCUGAGGAAUAAGCAUCGGCUAACUCCGUGCCAGCAGACGCGGUAAUACGGAGGGUGCAAGCGUUAUCCGGAAUCACUGGGUUUAAAGGGUGCGUAGGCGGAUGAUUAAGUCAGUGGUGAAAGCUGG